UACGAAGGGGGCUAGCGUUGUUCGGAAUUACUGGGCGUAAAGCGCGCGCAGGCGGUCUUCUAAGUCAGUGGUGAAAGCCCGGAGCUCAACUCCGGAACUGCCAUUGAAACUGUAAGACUUGAGGAUGAGAGAGGUGAGUGGAAUUCCCAGUGUAGAGGUGAAAUUCGUAGAUAUUGGGAAGAACACCGGUGGCGAAGGCGGCUCUCUGGCUCAUCACUGACGCUCAGGCGCGAAAGCGUGGGGAGCAAACAGG
rnacentral:rRNA from 1 species